GACAGAGGUCCCAAGCGUUAGGCGGAAUCACUGGGCUUAAAGCGGGUGUAGGCGGAUUUGUAAGUACCUUGUGAAAUCCCAUGGCUCAACCAUGGAACUGCUUGGUAUACUGCUUAUCUUGGGCCAUCUAGGGGCGAGCGGAACAAACGGUGGAGCGGUGAAAUUCGUAGAUAUCGAGAGGAACACCGGUGGCGAAGGCGGCCUUCUGGACAGUGACUGACGCUGAGACGCGAAAGCGUGGGGAGCAAACAGG
rnacentral:rRNA from 1 species